AUACUUACCUUGCAGGGGAGAAACCAUGAUCAGGUGGUUCACCCAGGGCAAGGCUCAGCCAUUGCACUCUAGGUUGGGCAAUUCCCUGUGAAUUCCCCAAAUGUGGGAAUCUCGACUGCAUAAUAUCUGGUAGUAGGAGACUGCAUUCACGCUGUCCCCCA
ensembl:snRNA U1 U1 spliceosomal RNA